ACGGGUAAAAUACUGUAGUGAUAAAAAUAAACCCAGUAAAUAUUAGGAUCUAAAUAAGUAAGCCUAAUAUUAACUAAAGAGUGAAUCAAAGCUUUGGAGGAAAUAAAGCUUAUAAAAGACCCGAGGUAACGGGGUGUAUGUAACACCCUAAAACAUAAAUCCUUUUAUUAUAAAUCCGAGUUUAAUAAUUGUAACAUCCCUAUUUUCAUCAUAAAUAAAAAUUGACAAAACUUCCUAACUAUGUAUUUUAUCUAUGAUAAAUAAAACAAUAUUGUUGUAGCAUAUAAGGUUUCAAUUAAAAACCUUAUUUAGAAACUUAGUAGAGAGUAUUUUGUAAAUGAUCAAGAAGGAGGGGUGAAUGUGGAAAUAUGAGUUAUAGUUAACUAAAUAAGUCAAGGAGGAAAAGAAAUCUCCAGAACCUUGAUACGUGCAGUGAGGUAUAUGACGAUGGAGAAAAAGAGACCAAGAGAAAGUGAUUUCCAACUUGAAAUCUGGAAAUUCAAAGUGUAAAUCUUGUUAAUGCAAGUUUAUAAUCUGAUUUCUAGCAUCAUCAUCUCUUUUUGUGUUUAAGAUGCUAGGAAUUGCUGUGCUUUGGUGAAUCAAGCUAGGGGUCUAGUUAUGUCACGCUUAAAUCUGAGUCAUCGGAACAGUAUUUGUUUUUGAGACUAUUAUUUGUAAUUACUGUUUUUAUUUGGA